UACGUAGGGUGCAAGCGUUGUCCGGAAUUAUUGGGCGUAAAGAGCUCGUAGGCGGUUUGUCGCGUCUGCUGUGAAAACUCGGGGCUUAACUCCGGGCCUGCAGUGGGUACGGGCAGACUAGAGUGCGGUAGGGGAGACUGGAAUUCCUGGUGUAGCGGUGAAAUGCGCAGAUAUCAGGAGGACACCGGUGGCGAAGGCGGGUCUCUGGGCCGUAACUGACGCUGAGGAGCGAAAGCGUGGGGAGCGAACAGG
rnacentral:rRNA from 1 species